GAAACUACGCCUAUAUGAAGUCGGAAUUGCUAGUAAUCGCAGAUCAGCAUGCUGCGGUGAAUACGUUCCCGGGCCUUGUACACACCGCCCGUCACACCAUGAGAGUUGGGGAUACCCGAAGCCUGUGAGCUAACUUUUAGAGGCAGCAGUCGAAGGUAGAAUCAAUGAUUGGGGUGAAGUCGUAACAAGGUAUC
rnacentral:rRNA from 1 species